rnacentral:tRNA from 1 species
GCAUUGGUGGUUCAGUGGUAGAAUUCUCACCUUCUAUGCGAGAGUCCUGGGUUUGAUUCCUGUCCUAUACA